rnacentral:rRNA from 1 species
GGUACGAUACAAGUAGUAGGAAAGGGAAACGUAGGAACGGACCCUUCGGGGAGGCUUGUACAGGUGGCUGCAUGGCUGUCGUCAGCUCGUGUCGUGAGAUGUUCGGUUAAGUCCGCUAACGAGCGCAACCCUCGCUGUGUGUUACAAGUGUCACACGGAACUGCCGGUCAUAAACCGGAGGAAGGUGGGGAUGACGUCAAGUCAGCAUGGCCUUUAUAUCCUGGGCUACACACACGCUACAAUGGGAAGGGACAAUAGGUUGCGAAGCCGCGAGGCGGAGCCAAUCCAGCAAAACUUCCCUCAGUUCAGAUUGCAGGCUGCAACUCGCCUGCAUGAAGUUGGAGUUGCUAGUAAACGCAGGUCAGCCAUACUGCGUUGAAUACGUUCCCGGGGCUU